UACACACUUGACUUAGGUCUC
ensembl:piRNA 21ur-4675 ncRNA